AACGAACGCUGGCGGCAUGCCUAACACAUGCCAGUCGAACGAGACCUUCGGAUCUAGUGGCGCACGGGUGCGUAACGCGUGGGAACCUGCCCUUAGGUUCGGAAUAACUCCCCGAAAGGGGUGCUAAUACCGGAUAAUGUCUUCGGACCAAAGAUUUAUCGCCUUUGGAUGGGCCCGCGUUGGAUUAGCUAGUUGGUAGGGUAAAAGCCUACCAAGGCGACGAUCCAUAGCUGGUCUGAGAGGAUGAUCAGCCACACUGGGACUGAGACACGGCCCAGACUCCUACGGGAGGCAGCAGUGGGGAAUAUUGGACAAUGGGCGAAAGCCUGAUCCAGCAAUGCCGCGUGAGUGAUGAAGGCCUUAGGGUUGUAAAGCUCUUUUACCCGGGAUGAUAAUGACAGUACCGGGAGAAUAAGCUCCGGCUAACUCCGUG
rnacentral:rRNA from 1 species